rnacentral:rRNA from 1 species
UACGUAGGGAGCAAGCGUUGUUCGGAUUUACUGGGCGUAAAGGGCGCGUAGGUGGCUAUUCAAGUCAUCUGUGAAAUCUCCGGGCUUAACUCGGAACGGUCAGAUGAUACUGCUUUGCUAGAGUGCAGAAGGGGCAAUCGGAAUUCUCGGUGUAGCGGUGAAAUGCGUAGAUAUCGAGAGGAACACCAGAGGUGAAGACGGGUUGCUGGGCUGACACUGACGCUGAGGCGCGAAAGCCAGGGGAGCAAACGGG